UGGGGAACAUUGCACAAUGGGGGAAACCCUGAUGCAGCCAUGCCGCGUGUGCGAAGAAGGCCUUCGGGUUGUAAAGCACUUUCAGCGAGGAGGAAAGGUUGGCGCCUAAUACGUGUCAACUGUGACGUUACUCGCAGAAGAAGCACCGGCUAACUCCGUGCCAGCAGCCGCGGUAAUACGGAGGGUGCAAGCGUUAAUCGGAAUUACUGGGCGUAAAGCGCACGCAGGCGGUUGGCUAAGUUAGAUGUGAAAGCCCCGGGCUCAACCUGGGAAUUGCAUUUAAAACUGUCCAGCUAGAGUCUUGUAGAGGGGAGUAGAAUUCCAGGUGUGGCGGUGAAAUGCGUAAAGAUCUGGAGGAACACCGGUGGCGAAGGCGGCCCCCUGGACAAAGACUGACGCUCAGGUGCGAAAGCGUGGGGAGCAAAAA
rnacentral:rRNA from 1 species